rnacentral:rRNA from 1 species
AGUGAACGCUGGCGGUAGGCCUAACACAUGCAAGUCGAACGGCAGCACAGGAGAGCUUGCUCUCUGGGUGGCGAGUGGCGGACGGGUGAGGAAUACAUCGGAAUCUACCUUUUCGUGGGGGAUAACGUAGGGAAACUUACGCUAAUACCGCAUACGACCUACGGGUGAAAGUGGGGGACCGCAAGGCCUCACGCGAUUAGAUGAGCCGAUGUCCGAUGAGCUAGUUGGCGGGGUAAUGGCCCACCAAGGCGACGAUCGGUAGCUGGUCUGAGAGGAUGAUCAGCCACACUGGAACUGAGACACGGUCCAGACUCCUACGGGAGGCAGCAGUGGGGAAUAUUGGACAAUGGGCGCAAGCCUGAUCCAGCCGUACCGCGUGGGUGAAGAAGGCCUUCGGGUUGUAAAGCCCUUUUGUUGGGAAAGAAAUCCUAUCGGUUAAUAACCGGUGGGGAUGACGGUACCCAAAGAAUAAGCACCGGCUAACUUCGUGCCAGCAGCCGCCGCGGUAA